AGUGAACGCUGGCGGUAGGCCUAACACAUGCAAGUCGAACGGCAGCACAGUAAGAGCUUGCUCUUACGGGUGGCGAGUGGCGGACGGGUGAGGAAUACAUCGGAAUCUACUUUUUCGUGGGGGAUAACGUGGGGAAACUUACGCUAAUACCGCAUACGACCUACGGGUGAAAGCAGGGGAUCUUCGGGCCUUGCGCGAUUGAAUGAGCCGAUGUCGGAUUAGCUAGUUGGCGGGGUAAAGGCCCACCAAGGCGACGAUCCGUAGCUGGUCUGAGAGGAUGAUCAGCCACACUGGAACUGAGACACGGUCCAGACUCCUACGGGAGGCAGCAGUGGGGAAUAUUGGACAAUGGGCGCAAGCCUGAUCCAGCCAUACCGCGUGGGUGAAGAAGGCCUUCGGGUUGUAAAGCCCUUUUGUUGGGAAAGAAAAGCAGCAGGUUAAUACCCCGCUGUUCUGACGGUACCCAAAGAAUAAGCACCGGCUAACUUCGUG
rnacentral:rRNA from 1 species